AGAGUUUGAUCAUGGCUCAGAUUGAACGCUGGCGGCAUGCCUAACACAUGCAAGUCGAACGCCCCCUUCGGGGGGAGUGGCGCACGGGUGAGUAACGCGUGGGAACCUGCCCCGGGGUGGGGGAUAACCGAUGGAAACGUCGGCUAAUACCGCAUACGUCCUGAGGGAGAAAGAUUUAUCGCCCUGGGAGGGGCCCGCGUCGGAUUAGCUAGUUGGUGGGGUAACGGCCUACCAAGGCGACGAUCCGUAGCUGGUCUGAGAGGAUGAUCAGCCACACUGGGACUGAGACACGGCCCAGACUCCUACGGGAGGCAGCAGUGGGGAAUAUUGGACAAUGGGCGCAAGCCUGAUCCAGCAAUGCCGCGUGAGUGAUGAAGGCCCUAGGGUUGUAAAGCUCUUUCGGCGGGGACGAUGAUGACGGUACCCGCAGAAGAAGCCCCGGCUAACUUCGUGCCAGCCGCCGCGGUAAUAC
rnacentral:rRNA from 1 species